rnacentral:rRNA from 1 species
GAUGAACGCUGGCGGCGUGCUUAACACAUGCAAGUCGAACGAAGCAUUUAGGACAGAUUACUUCGGUUUGAAGUUCUUUAUGACUGAGUGGCGGACGGGUGAGUAACGCGUGGGUAACCUGCCUUGUACUGGGGGAUAGCAGCUGGAAACGGCUGGUAAUACCGCAUAAGCGCACAAUGUUGCAUGACAUGGUGUGAAAAACUCCGGUGGUAUAAGAUGGACCCGCGUCUGAUUAGCUAGUUGGUGAGAUAACAGCCCACCAAGGCGACGAUCAGUAGCCGACCUGAGAGGGUGACCGGCCACAUUGGGACUGAGACACGGCCCAGACUCCUACGGGAGUCAGCAGUGGGGAAUAUUGCACAAUGGAGGAAACUCUGAUGCAGCGACGCCGCGUGAGUGAAGAAGUAAUUCGUUAUGUAAAGCUCUAUCAGCAGGGAAGAUAGUGACGGUACCUGACUAAGAAGCACCGGCUAAAUACGUG